UGUGGUUAAAUAAUUUAGAGCAAAGAUUUUGUAUGUUACUAUAUUAGAACUCUUUCCAAAUACUGUAAUAGCCCAGGUAAUCUGGGAUGUUUGUCAUGAUGCUAAUAAAUUUUUUAUGACAGAAAAUACUUAAUUUUAUUGAUUCUAGGAUACCUCUUCUAGGACACUUUAGCCUCCGAAAUCAGUACGUCUCUUUACAAUGAGUAACAUCUUAGAUUUAGUGAAAUAAGAUGUCUUAUAAGGCUUCCGGAGAAGGAAUUUCAUAGUCGUUACAGAAUCACUGUAAUUCUUCAGAUGAGGUUACAGGAUCGCUCUGACUCUCACCUGUGUCUUUCAGAUGCUCUCUGUGUGGGUACGUGUGCAGCCAUCCUCCUUCUUUGAAGUCUCACAUGUGGAAGCAUGCAAGUGACCAAAAUUACAACUACGAACAAGUAAACAAGGCUAUCAAUGAUGCCAUUUCACAGAGUGGCAGGGUUCUGGGGAGAUCCCCUGCAAAGAUGCUCUUAAACAGCAGUGAGGAAAGAGCCGAUCCUGUCACUGGAAGUUCGGGAAAUUUGGUAUCAUCCUCAGAGCUGAUUUCCCAGGCUCCUGGUGAAGUUGCAGGUUCCAACGACAAUGAGAAACUGAGCCCUACAAGUAAUACCUCAUAUAGUUUAGAAAAAAACUCCAGUCUGGCGCCUCCUGGCAUGGAGUAUUGUGUUUUACUCUUCUGUUGUUGUAUUUGUGGCUUCGAAUCUACCAGCAAAGAAAAUCUCUUGGAUCAUAUGAAAGAGCAUGAGGGUGAGAUCGUAAACAUCAUCCUCAAUAAGGACCACAACACCACUUUGAACACAAAUUAGAUUGAAUACUUGAAGAGGAACACGGUAGAAGAGAAAUCCUUUAAACCACGGUUUCACCUUUGCGCUAUCAAGUAACUUACUAGACACAGGAGAAAUAGUUUUGGUGUGGUGUUUGGGUUUUGGUUUUUGGUGGUUUUUUUUUUUGAGGAAGAGAUGCAUGUGACUUUGGAACCAAAUUUGCAGUGUAAUAAAAAAAUUCCAAGUGGAUACACGGUAAUGAUAUUUAAAUAUUCUGAGUGAGGGGAAGUGGGUUGAGGAGGAAGCAAAGAUGUAACCCUGUGUUAACCCUGUUACCUCUUCUUACUGUUGAGUGUAUUUAUUAUUCAAAGCUUAUCAUAGUGUAGAAAUGCAAGCAAAAGAAUUAAGAAAGAGCUUUUCUGGAACUAUUCUAAAACUUCUUGUUGUAAAAGUGUCACAGUCUUAAACAGAGCUUAGUUUUCUUCUUCAUUCUGAGCUUGGACAUGCCAACUCUAGAGGGACGGGCCUCUUGUGAGGGGUGGGGGGCUGCUGUCUGAGGGGUUUUCACUAUCACCAACAGAGUCAACAAGGAUAAGAUACCAGAGGGCUUUGAAAUGAUCUACCUAUCAGUCUUUCCCCAAAUCGAUAGGAUUUAAUCAUAUACUCAGUCUAAGGUACAGUACUUUUUUUUAAAGAUACAUUACUUAUUAAAAAAGAAAGCGACCUCUGAAUCCAAAUCCAGAGUAUAAAUAGGCAUUUAAGAAGUACCUUAUUGUCUUAAAUUUACAGUGAAUUUCUUGUGAGCAAAGGAGAAAAUAGGUGAAUUCCCACCUGCCUCAAACCAAAUCGGAAGGUUCGUGAAAAUGGGGACUCGUUUAGCACAGCACAUUCCCAAAGGCUCUUUUCAAAGUGUUUGACAGAACACUGCAAUUUUCUCCGUAGCUACACAUGCUUUAUAGUCCUCUCUCCCAAACUAGACCAAGUGUGGUAUUGCAAAGGUCUAUUCAAGCAACAAAGUAUGAAAAUUUGCAUUUGAUCAUCAGACCUUGGAAGUACUUGGAACUCUUAAAUAAAAAUCAUUUGGGGGAAGAGGGGCGAAAUUCAAAAGCCCCUUAGAAUGAGUACUGCUGUGGAGAUUUUAUUUCCGGGAGUUUAUUAAUCUAGUUGUACUUAGCAUAAGAGGUAUAAUCAAAUGUGGCUAACCUAUAGUAAAAAUUCAGGUUGUUUAUAAAACUUUUAAUAACAAACAACAUUUGGCAAGCCCACAGGGUUUCUCCUAUCUAGGUUAUUCCAUUUUGUCAGUGUGCAAUAGGACAUAUGGAAGACCAACUACCAGUGCUUCCACACUAAAACUCGCCAUCGCAUACAUGUGAUCUUCUCAUUAAUUACACAGUUUGUAUUAUAAUGUGUUUCAAAGUGAAGAGACGAGGGGUGUUUUUGUUUUUGUUUUGGCUUUUGUUGUACUGAUCAUUUAUUUUUGCAUUGUUUUGUCAAAGUAAAUUCUGCAUACAAGUCAAAAGGCCGGUGCACCAUGCAGUGCACCAUCUUCAUGGUGCUCUUUCUGAACUUGAUUUCUAACAUCUAGUGCUGAGGCUGUGACUCUGAUAAACUUAGAAGACAUUGAAAACAAUUUUUUGAGUGGAAUAUUUUGUAGACAUAUUUUAGGAUAGAAUUCCCUUCCCAAAGUCCAGGUACGGAUUGAAUGAAUUAGUAUUUUUAAGGUCGCAUCAGGAACUACUUAAGUGGGGCCAGGCCAUCUUGAAACAUUGUUUAAGGGUUUUUUUUAAAUCUAAUGUUGAUGAUGAUAUUUAAACAAACGAUUGAUUGUAACUUGGCGGCUGUUUGAUUUAGGUAGCUUUAAUUUAUUUAUGGGAGUUAAUACCACUCUGAUAGGUGAUUUUUAAAAAAGAUAAAAUGAAUUUAUAUAUAUACACUAAAUUAUAUCACCCAAAUUCACUGCAUGUGGAUAUAUAUUUUCUCCUGUUUUCAGAAUUAAAACACAAUUAUACUUCGUUUCAAAUUUAAAUAUUUUAAAUGGUUCCAUUUUUAUCACUCAUUCUAAAAAUUAACAACCUUAGUAGCAGGAUUUUGUUUUAUAAAGUUUCCUUGGUUUUAAUUUCAUGUAAUCAGUUGGAAUAUAUUAAUAACCAAAAAAAUCCCAAAAACAUCAAUAGUGAAUUUUUUAAAUUACAUUCAGUUCCCUAAACCACUUCCAUUGAUUGUUACAUAAAUUUCCCAUUUGGAAUCAUGGAUUUAAAAUUUACCUAACUCAUGGAGAAAAAAUUAACCCAGAGGUUCAAAACCUUUAAACAUUCAUCUGAUCCUAGCCUAGAAUAUCCUCAAACGCUUUCCCCGGGGCUGUAGAAGGAACCAUAUACCAUGGGUGUUCUGUACCUUCCUGUUACCAUUUUGUGGCAAGCCUUAAGUGACCACUGUCUCUACCAAGAACAAUUGAACACUUCUAAAAGUAAUAAUGAAGGCUAAGUAUGCAAUUUUAAUUGUAGAAGAGAUAGGUAUUACACUAAUCAGUAGGAAUUAUCUUUGUAGGAAUAACAUUUUACUUGUAGUAGAUCUUUUGCCAUAAUAAAGCUCAUAGUAUUUGUUUCCCACUCUGAACACUUUACACAGUUCUAAGAUUUGAUAGUAAAAAUAGUUUUUAAAAGAAACAUACUGGAUGUGAGGCAAAGGUGGGGAGGGGGCAAGACGAUGCAUUCUGAUCAUUAUAAGUAAUACUUUCCAGGGGGCCAACAUUUUCGCUCCUCCUCUAAUAACCCAGAAGAUGGUGGGCAGCCCCAGUGUUCUUCCAGUGCCCUGCCUGUAGAUUUUAGUUCCGUGUCCGGCCUGCGGGGUAUACGGACACUGACAGAACAAAAGCCUUUGUUCUAGAUCUCUCAUCCUAUUCGAGGUAGCUCUUGGUGGCUUCUUUAUUUUCUUUGUCUUUUCUCACAAAGCAGAUGGUGGGCACCCAUGUUUACAUUGUAUCUUCCCACAAUGUACUUGGCUUGACAAAGACAAGCAGGCUUCUCUAUUGAGACUUAUUAUAUUUUUAGUUUUCAUAGACACUUAUUUAAUCUUUUUUUUAUUGUACAGCAAGGUGCUCUAAGUAAUAUUCUAUAAAAUAUAUUUAAUAGAAAUUUGAGUUUGAUAUUCAUGGACAUGAAUACAUGUAUUUUUUUAAAAAAUGAGUAUUGUGUAACACUAUGGCAUUGCUUCUAUAGCCAAAGUCUAAAAAUUUCUGGAACACUGACAUGUAAAGACUACAGUUAAUUCUGACACUGUAUCUUAUUAAAAUAGGAUGAUUUGCAUUUUGUAAAAUUAUCCUGCACAUCGAGCUGCAUGCCUUAAAAGCCUAAAACUCUAGGAUUGUGUUCAUGGUAGGACAGUUUAUCUGUUCAACAAACAGUGAAGCAAGGUCUAUAGUGCUUCUUUAACUACCUUUGGAAAUACUGUACAAUGUUAGAAUAAUUUAUUUUGCUUUACAGGAGUUUGUCAUGUAUUGACUUUAAUAUUGUAUUUUGGUAAUAAAUUUUUUGUUAAAAACA